rnacentral:rRNA from 1 species
UACGAAGGGGGCUAGCGUUGCUCGGAAUCACUGGGCGUAAAGCGCACGUAGGCGGAUUGCUCAGUCAGGGGUGAAAUCCUGGAGCUCAACUCCAGAACUGCCUUUGAUACUGGCGACCUUGAGUCCGGGAGAGGUGAGUGGAACUGCGAGUGUAGAGGUGAAAUUCGUAGAUAUUCGCAAGAACACCAGUGGCGAAGGCGGCUCACUGGCCCGGUACUGACGCUGAGGUGCGAAAGCGUGGGGAGCAAACAGG